rnacentral:tRNA from 1 species
ACCUGGGUGGCUCAGUUGGUUGAGCAUCUGACUUCAGCUCAGGUCAUGAUCUCAUGGUUUGUGGCUUCAAGCCCCGCAUCAGGCU